UAGCGUAUAUUAAAGUUGUUGCGGUUAAAAAGCUCGUAGUUGGAUCUCGGCGGGGAGGGUGCGGUUCAUUAUCUGAUGCUACUGCUCCAUUUCCCCGUGUUUUUGACGGAGGUUUCAGGGUGCUCUUAACCGAGUGCUCUGGGAUGCCGUCAGGUUUACUUUGAAAAAAUUAGAGUGCUCAAAGCAGGCUUUACACGCUUGAAUAUUCGUGCAUGGAAUAAUGGAAUAGGACGUCGCUUCUAUUUUGUUGGUUUUCGGAAAUCGACGUAAUGAUUAAUAGGGACAGUCGGGGGCAUUAGUAUUCAGACGAC
rnacentral:rRNA from 1 species